AUGCUAGUCGAACGCGUCUAAGACGAGUGGCGAACGGGUGAGUAAUGCAUAGGAAUCUGCCCCAUAAUUUGGUUAAAUACCUUAUAUUUAAAAGACUUUGUCGUUAUGGGAUGAGCCUUUGUAGGAUUAGGUAGUUGGUAGGGUAAUAGCCUACCAAGCCGAUGAUCCUUAACUGGUCUGAGAGGAUGUACAGUCACACUAGAACUGAGACAAGGUCUAGACAUCUACGGAUGGCAGCAGUGAGGAAUCUUGAACAAUGGGCGAAAGCUUGAUUCAGCGAUAUAGAGUGAAUGAUGACAGUCAUUUGAUUGUAAAGUUCUUUUACCAAGGAAGAUUUUGACUUUACUUGGAGAAAAAGCCCCGGCUAAUUCUCGUGCCAGCAGCCGCGGUGAUACGAGAGGGGCUAGUGUUAUUCGGAAUUAUUGGGUGUAAAGGGUGAGUAGACUGUAACCAUAGUUAAAAGUUAAAUCUUAGUAGUGAUUACUAAAGCGAUUUUUAAUAACAAGUUACUAGAGUAAAAGAGAGGAUUGUACAAUUUCAAGUGGAGAAAUAAAAUUCGU
rnacentral:rRNA from 1 species